AUACUUUGCUACUAAAACAAAAUAUGGAAUAAGAAAGUAGUACAAAAAUUUGAUUGGUCAAAGCACACUGACCAAUAACAUACAAGGGUGAGGAUUAGAGACUCUUUCAACCACAACCGUUGAUUAACCUUAGAUCUAAUGGACAAGGGUGUUUCUUUCUCUCUCUCCCCUCUUACCUUAUCGUAUUUUUUGUUCUUCUCUUUCAAUUUUUUUUUCCAGAUCUUUUCUCUCUAAUCUCUUUCUUCUCAUCACCACAAAACCUUAUCACAGCAGACCUUGUUUUCGUCUCCACCCCAUCUCGUCGUCGUCACAACCACUGCUCGCGUCGUCACCACCAUAGCUCCAUAAAUGGAGGCGAGGAUGAAGAAAAUCGUUUGACCUCCUCACCACCAUGACAUAUCUAUGGAGCAGGGAAGGAGAAGAAGUGGUGUUACAGAGCAUUGAACUGGAUUCGUUUCUCUUUCUCCCUCUCUCUCUAUCUAUCUCUCUCUGUGUGUGUGUGUUCAGAUUUCGUUUUUUAUUUUCUGUUCUUAGUUUAGAAUAGGCGGAAGGUUAAUGGUGGUGGUCUCGGCGUCAACAAUGGUGGUCUCGGCGCUACCAAUGGUGGUCUCGGCGCUACCAGUGGUGGUCUUGCGUCGUCAAUGGUGUUCUUGGCUGGUGGAGGAAGCUGAAUAACCUUUACCGUGGUGUUCUUGGCUAGAGGUCUGAAGUUGACGGCAAAAAGUUUAGACACAGGGUUAAUUUUUUUAGGUUAGGCUUUAAGUUUACAUUUCUAAACCGGAUUUUGUAAACCAGAAUUUAUUUGUAAACCAGAAUGAAAUCACUAAAUAAAUUUUUAUUUU